rnacentral:snRNA from 1 species
UGUGAAAUGACUUGAGAGG